AGCGAACGCUGGCGGCAGGCCUAAUACAUGCAAGUCGAACGCACCUUCGGGUGAGUGGCGGACGGGUGAGUAACGCGUGGGAACGUGCCCUUUGGUUCGGAACAACACAGGGAAACUUGUGCUAAUACCGAAUGUGCCCUUCGGGGGAAAGAUUUAUCGCCAUUGGAGCGGCCCGCGUUGGAUUAGGUAGUUGGUGAGGUAAAGGCUCACCAAGCCUACGAUCCAUAGCUGGUCUGAGAGGANGAUCAGCCACACUGGGACUGAGACACGGCCCAGACUCCUACGGGAGGCAGCAGUGGGGAAUCUUGCGCAAUGCGCGAAAGCGUGACGCAGCAACG
rnacentral:rRNA from 1 species